GACGAACGCUGGCGGCGUGCUUAACACAUGCAAGUCGAACGGAAAGGCCCUGCUUUUGUGGGGUGCUCGAGUUGCGAACGGGUGAGUAACACGUGAGUAACCUGCCCUUGACUUUGGGAUAACUUCAGGAAACUGGGGCUAAUACCGGAUAGGAGCUCCUGCUGCAUGGUGGGGGUUGGAUAGUUUCGGCGGUUGGGGUUGGACUCGCGGCUUAUCAGCUUGUUGGUGGGGUAGUGGCUUACCAAGGCUUUGACGGGUAGCCGGCCUGAGAGGGUGACCGGCCACAUUGGGACUGAGAUACGGCCCAGACUCCUACGGGAGGCAGCAGUGGGGAAUAUUGCACAAUGGGCGGAAGCCUGAUGCAGCCACGCCGCGUGCGGGAUGACGGCCUUCGGGUUGUAAACCGCUUUCGCCUGUGACGAAGCGUGAGUGACGGUAAUGGGUAAAGAAGCACCGGCUAACUCCGUG
rnacentral:rRNA from 1 species